rfam:Puccinia graminis f. sp. tritici CRL 75-36-700-3 supercont2.44 genomic scaffold, whole genome shotgun sequence.
GGCUUCGUAAUUCAGUGGUAGAAUGCCUGCUUUACAUCCGGAGAUGCGCAGUAUGUCGCGGGUUCGAUCCCCGUCGAGGUCA